rnacentral:misc_RNA from 1 species
GAAGACUUUGGAGUGUAGUGAAUCUUUAUUAGACCUGAACAGCUAUUUCCGAGCCCAAGAACUGCAUCUCUUGCUUUUCAUUCUCAUUCCCAUUAGAAUAAUUCUAUUAAUGGGAAUGAACUGGGAUUGUACCUGGUUGAGACAAUUGAAACAUGUGGACUGUUCAGUACUUGAGAAGAAAGAAAAAAAAAUUCUCCUUUUCUCUUAAGACUGCUACUGGUUCCUUGGUAUCCUGAAAGUGACAGGUGGGAUAAUGUAGAAGUAACAUGAGCACUUGUAUCCCUUUCGAGAGAUG